UCCGCAGGCGGUCCUGUGUGUCGGAUGUGAAAGCUCACGGCUCAACCGUGGAAUUGCAUUCGAAACUACAGGACUAGAGUAUCGGAGGGGAGUGGGGAAUUCAUGGUGUAGCGGUGAAAUGCGUAGAUAUCAUGAAGAACACCGGAGGCGAAGGCGCCACUCUGGACGAAUACUGACGCUCAUGGACGAAAGCGUGGGGGGAGCGAAGA
rnacentral:rRNA from 1 species